GACGAACGCUGGCGGCGUGCUUAACACAUGCAAGUCGAACGGAAAGGCCCUGCUUUUGUGGGGUGCUCGAGUGGCGAACGGGUGAGUAACACGUGAGUAACCUGCCCUUGACUUUGGGAUAACUUCAGGAAACUGGGGCUAAUACCGGAUAGGAGCUCCUGCUGCAUGGUGGGGGUUGGAACGUUUCGGCGGUUGGGGAUGGACUCGCGGCUUAUCAGCUUGUUGGUGGGGUAGUGGCUUACCAAGGCUUUGACGGGUAGCCGGCCUGAGAGGGUGACCGGCCACAUUGGGACUGAGAUACGGCCCAGACUCCUACGGGGGGCAGCAGUGGGGAAUAUUGCACAAUGGGCGGAAGCCUGAUGCAGCAACGCCGCGUGCGGGAUGACGGCCUUCGGGUUGUAAACCGCUUUCGCCUGUGACGAAGCGUGAGUGACGGUAAUGGGUGAAGAAGCACCGGCUAACUACGUG
rnacentral:rRNA from 1 species